GUGAGGAAUAUUGGACAAUGGGCGAAAGCCUGAUCCAGCUAUAUCGCGUGGGUGAUGAAGACUGUGUUGGUUGUAAAACCCUUGACUCUUUGAAAGAUUAUGACAAACAAAGAGCAAAAAGUCCCGGCCAAUCUCGUGCCAGCAGCCGCGGUAAUACGCGAGGGGCGAGCGUUAUUCGGAAUGAUUGGGCGUAAAGCGCACGUAGGCGGUUUAGAAAAUCCGAAAUCGAGAAUCUCAAAGCUUUACUUUGAGAAGUAUUUUCUGUGAUUCCUAGACUUGAGUAAGUAAGAGGAGAAUGGAAUUCCUGGUGUAGAGGUAAAAUAUGUUGAUAUCAGGAGGAACAUCAAAAGCGAAGGCAAUUCUCUGGUACUAGACUGACGUUGAGGUGCGACAGCGUGGGGAUCAAAAGGGAUUAGAUACCCCAGUAGUCC
rnacentral:rRNA from 1 species